rnacentral:rRNA from 1 species
CCUACGGGAGGCAGCAGUGAGGAAUAUUGGUCAAUGGACGAGAGUCUGAACCAGCCAAGUAGCGUGAAGGAUGACUGCCCUAUGGGUUGUAAACUUCUUUUAUCUGGGAAUAAAACGUUCCACGUGUGGGAUUUUGUAUGUACCAUAUGAAUAAGGAUCGGCUAACUCCGUGCCAGCAGCCGCGGUAAUACGGAGGAUCCGCGCGUUCUCCGGAUUUAUUGGGUUUAAAGGGAGCGUAGGUGGAUUGUUAAGUCAGUUGUGAAAGUUUGCGGCUCAACCGUAAAAUUGCAGUUGAAACUGGCAGGCUUGAGUACAGUAGAGGGAGGCGGAAUUCGUGGUGUAGCGGUGAAAUGCUUAGAUAUCACGAAGAACUCCGAUUGCGAAGGCAGCUCACUGGACUGCAACUGACACUGAGGCUCGAAAGUGUGGGUAUCAAACAGGAUUAGAUACCCUGGUAGUC